rnacentral:rRNA from 1 species
CCUACGGGUGGCUGCAGUGAGGAAUAUUGGUCAAUGGACGAGAGUCUGAACCAGCCAAGUAGCGUGAAGGAUGACUGCCCUAUGGGUUGUAAACUUCUUUUAUAUGGGAAUAAAAUGUUCCACGUGUGGGAUUUUGUAUGUACCAUAUGAAUAAGGAUCGGCUAACUCCGUGCCAGCAGCCGCGGUAAUACGGAGGAUCCGAGCGUUAUCCGGAUUUAUUGGGUUUAAAGGGAGCGUAGGUGGAUUGUUAAGUCAGUUGUGAAAGUUUGCGGCUCAACCGUAAAAUUGCAGUUGAUACUGGCAGUCUUGAGUACAGUAGAGGUAGGCGGAAUUCGUGGUGUAGCGGUGAAAUGCUUAGAUAUCACGAAGAACUCCGAUUGCGAAGGCAGUUCACUAGACUGCAACUGACACUGAUGCUCGAAAGUGUGGGUAUCAAACAGGAUUAGAUACCCUAGUAGUC